rnacentral:rRNA from 1 species
UAAUACGUAGGGUGCGAGCGUUAAUCGGAAUUACUGGGCGUAAAGCGUGCGCAGGCGGCGCCGCAAGUCAGGCGUGAAAUCCCCGGGCUCAACCUGGGAAUGGCGCUUGAAACUACGGUGCUGGAGUGUGGCAGAGGGAGGUGGAAUUCCACGUGUAGCGGUGAAAUGCGUAGAGAUGUGGAGGAACACCGAUGGCGAAGGCAGCCUCCUGGGCCAACACUGACGCUCAUGCACGAAAGCGUGGGGAGCAAACAGGAUUAGAUACCCUGGUAGUCCACGCCCUAAACGAUGACGACUAGUUGUUGGAGGAGUUAAAUCCUUCAGUAACGCAGCUAACGCGUGAAGUCGUCCGCCUGGGGAGUACGGUCGCAAGAUUAAAACUUAAAUGAAUUGACGG